ACAUCUGGCCUCAUACAAUAUAGACGAGUACAACUUCAUCAGACAGCUUAUCUUCAAAACAACUCAAGCACACACAAGAACCUGGCUUGGCGGUUAUGAUUCACCAGGGGAAGGCAUCUGGUUUUGGAGUGAUGGCUCCAGGCUUACUUUUACCAACUGGGCAGCCGUGAGCCAAACAAUGGUGGUGACAAAGAACACUGCAUGGACAUGAAUGUACAAGGACGAGACUUUGUGAACGAUGAUGUCUGUUCCAAGCAGCUUCCCUUCGUAUGUGUUCUGCAGCUCUAACCUUUCUCUUCUGAUGCCUAAUAAUCUGAACCGUAUGGCUUUCCUGCUGGUGAUGUCACUUCCACCUGGAUGUCAAGCCUCGAUGACAUCACUGCUGGAAGAACCUGAUUUCACUUGAUUUAUCACUUAAAUAAAUGUUUUCUUUCUCUGAAA